UCUAAAACUCAUCAUCUGGAGCCCUAGACGUACAACUUCUCCCUGUAAUCAGACCCACAUCGCUGGGGAGGGCUGCACGCCUUCUCCCCCCAUGACCUGCGCCAGCUCGCUCGAUCUUCCUCCUACCGGCCGGAAUCCGAAGCAGCUCUGAAUGUCAUCAACCGCCCACCCAGCCCUCCAGAAGCCAGGAAGCAGAGGUGGCCGGAAAUCUCAUCACAGUUCUGGGUACCCUGAAAGGGCGACCCGCAACCUGUCCUUCGUUUGGAUCUCGGAGUCCGCCUUUGAGCUGGGCACGACGGCAACAUCACCUUAAGGGAUACAGUUGCUUAACUUUAGACCCUAUUCCCAACGCAACAUGCUCACCAGCCUCAUCCCCUACAGGGCUCAACGCGUUGUGUAUUCGCACCAGCCCUUCAUGUACGGAACCCACUAGUCUGCACAGAUCUCUUCAUGUGAAGCGGGGGUGGAUGGAAGCAAGAGAACCCCUCUAGUCAUCAACCAGGUGCCUGCCAAGAGCCGCAGGGUCCACCUAAGUCGGAGGGUCAAGAACACCUACAGCCCUUACAAGGUCUGCAGGAACAGCCAUCUGCCCCCGGGGCAGAGGAAGACAGUCCAGACCGAGGAGCUGAAUUCCAUCAGGCGGGAGCUGAGCCAGAUCAAAGCCCAGGUGGACAGCCUGUUGGAGAGUCUGGAGUUCAUGGAGCAGCAGUGGCAUCAGCACACAGGUGAAGAAUCAAGCAUUGGACCUGGAUAGCCCAGAGGUGGGGACCCUUCCAGGCUCCAGUGUUACUUCUUGGGUGUAUUGUUUCCUUGUCUUGUGUUUUUGGAAGACCCCACACAACCUGAAGUAACCUUUCUGGGGCGAUGCAAAUGGAAGCAUGAUUCAGCCAACCCACCCAGAAGACCUCCCGAUGGUAGUGGGUUUAACUUUUGAAGUCUUUUCCAUGAAUCCAGGGGUGGGCAGCGUAGGGAAGUCCCACAACCAGCAGUAUCUCACCAUCCCCAGUCUUGCAGGAGGACCCUGACCCCAAAGAACACUAUUAGCCCUCACUGAAUGCAGACUGCUUAUUUUCCUUCCCCAUGCACCGCUAAACCUGGUGGUGUGGAAGCUCUUUUCUUCAGCCACAGUAGUAAAGACACUUGUGUCCCUACAGUGACA